rnacentral:rRNA from 1 species
GUGUCAGCCGCCGCGGUAAGACGAACCGUGCGAACGUUGUUCGGAUUCACUGGGCUUAAAGGGCGCGUAGGCGGGUGACCAAGUCUGGGGUGAAAUCUUUCGGCUCAACCGGAAAACAGCCUCGGAUACUGGUCGUCUUGAGGGAGGUAGGGGCAGGUGGAACUUCCGGUGGAGCGGUGAAAUGCGUAGAGAUCGGAAGGAACGCCGGUGGCGAAAGCUACCUGCUGGACCUCUUCUGACGCUGAGGCGCGAAAGCUAGGGGAGCGAACGGGAUUAGAUACCCCGGUAGUCC